CCUACGGGUGGCAGCAGUCGAGAAUCAUUCACAAUGGGGGAAACCCUGAUGGUGCGACGCCGCGUGGGGGAAUGCAGGUCUUCGGAUUGUAAACCCCUGUCAUGUGGGAGCAAAUUAAAACGAUAGUACCACAAUAGGAAUAGACGGCUAACUCUGUGCCAGCAGCUGCGUUAAUACAGAGGUCUCAAGCGUUAUACGGAAUCACUGGGCGUAAAGCGUACGUAGGCGGUUUGGUAAGUCGUGUGUGAAAGGGGGGGGCUCAACCCGAGGACGGCACAUGAUACUGGCAGACUAGAGUACAGGAGAGGGAGGCGGAAUUCGUGGUGUAGCAGUGAAAUGCGUAGAUAUCGCGAAGAACUCUGAUGGCGAAGGCGGGUUCCUAAACAUUCACUGACGCUGAGGCACGAAGGCCAGGGGAGCGAAAGGGAUUAGAUACCCUUGUAGUC
rnacentral:rRNA from 1 species